rnacentral:ncRNA from 1 species
CGUCACUCCAAUGAGGACGGUGCAGUUUCUGCUGCGCGAUGGGGGAAGCCGGUGCGAAUCCGGCGCUGACCCGCAACCGUGAGCGCCUGCCUGUGGCAGGUGCGAGUCGGACUGCCCAUCGUGCCGCAUUGUCCAGC